UUCUUUUAUCUUCUUCUUUUGGAAAAUUUAUUAGUUCUUCGAAUUGUUUUUUUUUUCUGUGAUGAACUCCCAUUCAUCUUCAACAAGAUGAAUGGGUUCUCCGAUGUGGACGGCUUUGUGGAAAUAACUGAAUCCCUAGCAGAGAUGAUCAAGUUCGGGGCAAACGAACCAUCGGUCGGACUUUUCUACAUUCAACAGCACACCGAAAAUGCCGUUCCAAACCUAGUUAAUCUACAUGAUCAUGUUGUAGAAGAGUCUCAUCAAGUAAUUUUACACAUAGAGGACUCGGAAGAUUCUAUCACCAUGGUGAGAUCGAUGAAGGAAUGUGAGGUUUGAUCCACGGUCCUGCUUCAAGCUUUAAGAUGGGAAGAACUAACUCACGGGGACCAAUGUCUUGGGGUCCUGGUUCUGGAAAUAUCCAGUUGGAUAGCAGUAAUUAUUUUUCAACUGUAAUCAAAGUCCAUGAUACAAAAAGCAAGUAAUUUUAAGUGGCCACAACUUGAUUCCAAGGAACAUAUGGAAACCGAGCCUGAGAAGCCACCUCUGCAACCAGCUGCACCAUUGGUCCAUUGUCGGUUGCAUCCGCCAGCACCAGUUCAAUUCCUGAUACAGAAGCUGAUGAGCUACCUGUAUC